rnacentral:rRNA from 1 species
AUACGAAGGGGGCUAGCGUUGUUCGGAAUUACUGGGCGUAAAGCGCGCGUAGGCGGAUUGGUCAGUUAGGGGUGAAAUCCCAGGGCUUAACCCUGGAACUGCCUCUAAUACUGCCAGUCUUGAGUUCGAGAGAGGUGAGUGGAAUUCCUAGUGUAGAGGUGAAAUUCGUAGAUAUUAGGAAGAACACCAGUGGCGAAGGCGGCUCACUGGCCCGAUACUGACGCUGAGGCGCGAAAGCGUGGGGAGCAAGCAGGAUUAGAAACCCCGGUAGUCC